rnacentral:lncRNA from 1 species
AAGGUUCAAAGUCACAAAAAUAGGUUUCAUUAAAGAGGUAAAUAUACACUUAUAUCCCUUGGGUUAAUUAAUCCAAACCUUAGGGUUUAGAGUUAAGGGGUGGGGUUUUGAAAUUAGGGUUUAAAAUUUUAUAAAAAAAAUAUUAAAAUAAAAAAUAAAAAUUUUAAAAACAGUUUUAAAAAGUAUUUUUAAAUUAUAAAAAGAAAAUUUGAAAAAAAAAAAAAAAAAAAAAAUUCGAAAAAAAAAAAUUGUAAAAAUUUCGAAUCUGAAAACAUAUAAUCUGAAACUAUAAAAAAAAUCUUUUUUUCAUUUUUUUUUUUUAUUUUAUUAUUUUUAUUUAUUUUUGUUUGUUUAUUUAAUUUUAAACCAAGGGUAUUAGGGAUAUUUUACCCUUUAAUGAAUGUCAUUUUUGUGACUUUCUCCUUCUAGUGCUAUUUUUGAGACAUAAACUUCAAAAGGUGCUAUUAUUGACAAUUGCCCUUUGUUUAAAGCUUUGCUUGUUAUACUGUGGACACUUGGACGGUAACGUUCUUUUAUUACUAUAGUAUAAGUGAAUAAAUAUAUUCAUGUAUAUUUGAGACAACACAGCUUGGUACACGUGCUGGAGCUCCAGGUAAAAAAGUUACGGAAUCUUUUGGCUGAAACUCUGUAAAGUCUUGACACAAUCUCAGUUCAAAUAAAAAGUCAAGAAGUUCUAGAAACAUGUACGUUAAAUUUAGAUACGAAAGACAUGCGUAGACUUUAUACUUGUCUUUGUAAUAAACGAACAAUAGCGUGACCGACCUUCAUUG